UACGAAGGGGGCUAGCGUUGCUCGGAAUCACUGGGCGUAAAGCGCACGUAGGCGGACUCUUAAGUCGGUGGUGAAAUCCUGGAGCUCAACUCCAGAACUGCCUUCGAUACUGAGAGUCUCGAGUCCGGGAGAGGUGAGUGGAACUGCGAGUGUAGAGGUGAAAUUCGUAGAUAUUCGCAAGAACACCAGUGGCGAAGGCGGCUCACUGGCCCGGUACUGACGCUGAGGUGCGAAAGCAUGGGGAGCGAACAGG
rnacentral:rRNA from 1 species